CAAUGAUGUUGCAUAAGAACAGAUUUGGCAAUAAAAUAGAAAUUUCUAAAUGCUAUGUAUAGUAUUUCUUUGUAUGUUAUUUCAAGUAUUAUUUAUUUAUUAGUUAGGGAGAAUCCAUAAACGAUGUCUUGUUUUAGGGAUAGAAUACAGAUUUGCUACUCUGUCCCUAAAGCACCCCCUAUGUCAUUUAUCUCGAUAAAUGACAUAGUGGGAAGAGUUCUGUAUAAUGCUUUCAAGAUGGCAAAUGCUUAUAUCUUUAUGAUUAAACAAUGUUUUAGUUAUAAUAUAAAAUAUAUACGUGUAAUUGUUAGAGAAAUAAAGGCUAAUGUAACACAUGGAAAUAAAUUUUUUUUAUAAAACUGGUCUGGCCAAUCCAAAUUGUUUCUCUGAUCAGCUUGGAGAACAAU
rnacentral:lncRNA from 1 species